AUUGAACGCUGGCGGCAGGCCUAACACAUGCAAGUCGAGCGGAUGAAGGGAGCUUGCUCCUGGAUUCAGCGGCGGACGGGUGAGUAAUGCCUAGGAAUCUGCCUGGUAGUGGGGGAUAACGUCCGGAAACGGGCGCUAAUACCGCAUACGUCCUGAGGGAGAAAGUGGGGGAUCUUCGGACCUCACGCUAUCAGAUGAGCCUAGGUCGGAUUAGCUAGUUGGUGGGGUAAAGGCCUACCAAGGCGACGAUCCGUAACUGGUCUGAGAGGAUGAUCAGUCACACUGGAACUGAGACACGGUCCAGACUCCUACGGGAGGCAGCAGUGGGGAAUAUUGGACAAUGGGCGAAAGCCUGAUCCAGCCAUACCGCGUGUGUGAAGGAGGUCUUCGGAUUGUAAAGCACUUUAAGUUGGGAGGAAGGGCAGUAAGUUAAUACCUUGCUGUUUUGACGUUACCAACAGAAUAAGCACCGGCUAACUUCGUG
rnacentral:rRNA from 1 species